CGACUACUGUGUUGUGUCUGGUCGAUGCUGCUCCGGCAGGUAGGGCUGAAUGAGGGACAUGCCUGAUUUGCAUAUGCUGUCAAAAUCAGGAGGCAUACAAGAGAGGCUGCAACUGCCAUGCAAAAGAGAUGCAAAUAAAGAUUCAAACAAGGGGGAGGAUACAGAAAUGGUCAAGAAAAAAAGCAACAGCAGACCUCCAAGGAAUGACAACCCAUGACAUCACAAUGGUGGAAGCAGUGAUGAAGACAAUGGCUCUCUGUGAAGGAGAGGAGCCAAGGCGUGGUCUGGCUGGACAGAGGCUCCUCUCACAGGGCCAGCCGGCCACAGCAGCUGUCUCAACCUCUGUCUCUAUCUCUGCCUCCCUCCUUUUUCUCCUCUCUCCCUCUCUCUCUUGCUUCUUGCGCUCUUUCAAUUUUAAAUCCGGUACAUGUUCGUGGUACAAAAGCUGAGAUCUCUUUUCCAACGGUGUAAAGAUGAAACAUAAACCUCU